rnacentral:miRNA from 1 species
UAAGGUUGGGAUGAAGUAUC